rnacentral:rRNA from 1 species
GUGCCAGCAGCCGCGGUAAUACGAAGGUCCCAAGCGUUAUCCGGAUUUAUUGGGUUUAAAGGGUGCGUAGGCGGCUUAUUAAGUCAGUGGUGAAAGCUCCAUGCUUAACAUGGAAAUUGCCAUUGAUACUGAUGAGCUUGAGUAGAUUUGAAGUGGGCGGAAUGUGUCGUGUAGCGGUGAAAUGCUUAGAUAUGACACAGAACACCGAUUGCGUAGGCAGCUCACUAAACUCUUACUGACGCUGAGGCACGAAAGCAUGGGGAUCAAACAGGAUUAGAAACCCCCGUAGUCC